GCUGAGAUGGCCGAUGGGUUAGGGUGGUGGACUUUCGAUCCCCUGAGGUGUAUCCCCGCGCGGGUUCGAACCCGACUCCCAGCA
rfam:Schistosoma rodhaini strain Burundi genome assembly, scaffold: SROB_scaffold0022132